UACGUAGGGGGCGAGCGUUGUCCGGAAUUACUGGGCGCAAAGGGUGCGUAGGCGGUCUUUCAAGCCAGAAGUGAAAGGCUACGGCUCAACCGUAGUAAGCUUUUGGAACUGUAAGACUUGAGUGCAGGAGAGGAGAGUGGAAUUCCUAGUGUAGCGGUGAAAUGCGUAGAUAUCAGGAGGAACACCGGCGGCGAAGGCGGCUUGCUGGACGGCAACUGACGUUGAGGCUCGAAAGCGUGGGGAGCAAACAGGAUUAGAUACCCCUGUAGUCCCUGA
rnacentral:rRNA from 1 species